rnacentral:sRNA from 1 species
CUGUCAAUGGUACCGGAGGGCAUGCCCGAGGAUAAGGAAUUGACAGCUUUU